UGUUAACAAGAAUCUUGUGGAGUGGUUGAUAAAUGAGCUGUAAUGAGUCCAACCUAAGUGUAUGUAAACUUCCGACUUCAACUGUACGUCCCAUUUCUGAGCCGUUGAAUUGCGACUCCCCUUAGUCUCUGUACUGACGAUUUGCCUGUUUGCCUUACAGAUGGAAUAACUACACUGUUUGUAUUCGCCCAUUUUCUCAGUCACUUGCCAUGGUUAAAUGCUGUGGUUCGCACUUUCAGUUCUGUGCGAAUGCUGCCAUCCAUCCAGUUUCUGGUUUGGGUAGGUUUUAAGUCAGUGGUUAUCCGUGUAUCCGUCAAUGUUAUUCUCAGAGGCUACCCGGAACAUUUCCUAGUCCGCGUGAUCAAAACAAUCUUGAAGCAUGGAUUCCGAUUGUUGAAUAGACCAGUGUUGAAUAGACCUUAACACGGGUACUUCUUGCUUGAGUUUCUACCUAUAGGAAGGGAGGAGCAAAAUGGAGUCGUGAUCAGAUUUGCCGAAGAAUGUGUGGGGGAGGGCGUUGUAGGCAUUUCGAAAAGUUGAGUGACGGUGGUCCAAUGUUUGACCAGUGCGAAUAUUACAGUCAAUGGUCAAUGUGUUGGUCAAACUUGGGUAGCGUUUUCCUCAAAUUUGCUUUGUUAAAAUCACCAGCUACAAUAAAUAUAGUUUCCAGUUUGCAUUAAGUCCAGUGUAGUUCUUUUAGGACCAUUGUGGCAUCAGCUUGAGGGGGAAUAUACAGGGCUGUGAUUAUGACAGAAGAGAAUUUCCUUUGGAGGUAAUACGGUCGGCAUUUGAUUGUAGUAUUCUAGGUCGGGUGAACAAAAGGACUUUCUGUAUGUUAAUCAUAAUCACACCAUGAGUGUUUGAUCAUGAAACAUACACCCCCACCUUUCUUCUUCCCGGAGAGUUCUUGAUUCCUGUCUUGAAGACCAGUAAUUAUUGGUUUCCCCUCAUUCAGGCAAUAGCAAAGGCUGUGCAUUAUCACUAGAUAGUAGUCAAAAUAAGCCCGUUCCCUCUCACCCUGAUCGAAGUUGAGUUUCUUGGAGUUGGAUCCCUCUCCGAGUCCCUCUAUGUCUACCAGGUCAGAGUUGACGUCAGAGUCAUUCAGAGCACUCAGAGUCACAUCUGCUGGAACACACAGGCAGGAAGAGCUAAGUAUUUUUCUUUAUCCCAUUGUUUGAAAUAUAAUAGACAGACUAAAUAUUCACAGUUAAACUAUUCAAUUUGAUCUGCAAGGACUUUUCUAAUUGCAUUGCACAUAUUUUGUUGAAAAAGAAUCCUUUCAAUAUUGAGGUAAAAUUUUAAAAAAGGCUGAAGGUGGGACUGAUUAGAAAUCAUUGCCAAGAUGGCAACUACAAAAUGUAUUGAUUGAUUCCUUCCUUCAUCCAUCUCCACUCACCUGCAGACUUCUGUUUCUUCAUGGUGGGAAUGGCCAGAGUCACAUUUCCCUGGACACCUGCCUUCAUGACAACCUGUGAGGUCGGCACAGCAAUGACAGUUGGGGUUGCCGUGGUGGCUAUGGUAACAGCAGUCUUCUUGGCGGUCUUUUUUGGGGAGUCGGUGGAAAUGGGCAUCCCAGUCUCGUCAUAGAGCUUCCUCUUCACUGUACUUUUAAUCUGGACCCUUUGGAAAGAGGAGACAAGAGCUACCUCUGAACAUCUCAUUGGUCACCCAGACGCGAAUGGAGCGAAGAAGAGACAUACAAGGGUCAAAACCCUCCACAUAUCAUCUACGACCUGUACAACCAAGUUGGCUAUAACGGUUUCAUCGCAGCGGGUAUCUACAUGCUGAUUACAGCUCUCUUUCUGCCAGAUCAAACUGAACAAGCACAAGGAGUCCAUGGUGCACUAAUACCACCUGCUGGACUGGGCAUGCUACUUCUGCAACACAGCAAAACACUGUCUGGAGAAGAAAAGUGGCUUUUUCCGUAAAUGUUCUAUACUGAGUCUGAAUGAAUGGUAGCCGUUGUUAUUGUCUGGCUGUGUCCUGAUUCUCCACACUUAUCCCAAAGUGUUCACUUGUACACUCUCCAUCAUGGAUUUAAAAGCAUUGGGAUUGAGGUGGCAGGUAGCCUAGGAGUUAGAGCGUUGGGCCAGUAACCAAAAGGUUGGUAAAUCAAAUCCCUGAGUUGACAAGGUACACAUCUGUUGUUCUGCCCCUGAACAAGGAAGUUAACCCACUGUUCCUAGGCAGUCAUUGUAAAUAAGAAUGUGUUCUUAACUGACUUGCCUAGUUAAAUAAAACAUCUAAGCAUUGGCUGGAGGGAGUAUCCACUGUUAUUAAAUCUAUGAGAGGGAGUGUGCAAGUGCACACUUUUGGAGAAUCAGGAGACUUUGUCUGUGUAUGAUUAACAAAUCCCUAACACCUUGCUAUUAUUUAUCUACGCAAAUUAAAUCACCAGAGUUGUAUUAUUUCCUAGCUAAUGUCUUCAGAACUGGGAAUGAUAACUACCCUGUUAAUUCGCUGUGCCUGUCUUCCCAUCAGGUAAAAAAACAAAAAUCUCUGUAGAAAUGUAUCAAAUGACAGUUGUAUUUGUUUGAAACCAGGUUGAGGCCUUAGCUUGUGUAGCAGAUGCAAGGAAGUUUUGUUAGUGUUUUAGAACUUAUACUGGCAGCUGGGGCUGUAUUGUUUUUUUCUACAUUCUUGCCCUUUGUGCUGUUGUCCGUGUCCAAUAAUGUUUGUACCGUGUUUAAUGCUGUUACCAUGCUUUGUUGUCACGUGUUGAUAUGCCUUGAUAUGAUGUCUUAGGUCUGUCUUUAUGUAGUGUUGUCUCUCUUGUCUUGUUUUGUUUCAUUUUUUUAAAAAAAUCCAUCCCCCGUCCCCGCAGGAGGCCUUUUGGUAGGGCGUCAUUGUAAAUAAGAAUUUGUUCUUAACGGACUUGCCUAGUUAUAAAAAAAAAAAAAAAAUAGUUGAGCGAAGACGAACUGCUGCAUUCUAACACAAACAGUAUGGCAGAAGAUUAGUUGAUAAAUGGCUACCUCACGGUCCUAGUUAUCGACAAGUAUAUGUAGUCUACCCAAGUUCGUUGUGGUUUUGUCUUUUAGAAGUGUGCAAACGGUACAUGUUGCCACGGUUAUUUUCCCAGUUCGAUUGAUUUCUAUACUAUAUCGAUGUGAGUGAUUUCAUUUGCAUUGAUUACAGUAGAAUUAGCUCUUCAAUAGCCCUUAUUCACAUUCCAUGAUCGAACGAUCUAAACACACCAACACAUUUGACCAUGAUGACAGUGUCUCACAGGAGAUGUUUAACAAGGUCCCUGGAAGUGGAGACUGUGUCAAUGUUUUAUCUUAUCAAUAGAUAGAUAUUAAUGAUGGGUCCCAAUCUCCAUUUAGAAUUGCCCACUUAACAGGUUAUUUGAUGAAGAUCUGUUGAUGCAGUGUUUGGUAAUUGUGUUACUGAGACACAAUGUAUUCCUGCAUAGUUAAAUGAGCCCCUAGUUAAGAAGACUAGGCACUACUAUGUUUAUUGUUGUUUUUGAGUUAAUCCAUAUCCAUAAAAAAAUGCAACUGAAAAGUGUUCA